rnacentral:ncRNA from 1 species
UACCCAGUUUCGGGAACCUUGGUACAGGCAGGCCGGGGAUUCCCUCUUUACACCGCGACUCCAGCCAAGGCUGGAACACCGCACAACUGUUUUGGGGACCUUGGUACAGGCAGGCCGGGACUCCCCUUCUUUACACCGAAACACCUGGCCGCAAGCCAAGUGUUCCACCCCGCUUGGGGGGCUCCGGUACAGGCAGGCCGGGGUCCCCUCUUUUAUUGCUCGCGC